AUAUCAAUAAGCGGAGGAAAAGAAACCAACUGGGAUUGCCCUAGUAGCGGCGAGCGAAGCGGCAACAGCUCAAAUUUGAAAUCUGGCCUCGGCCCGAGUUGUAAUUUGUAGAGGAAGGUUUUGGCGCGGCUCCUUCUGAGGCCCCUGGAACGGGGCCCCACAGAGGGUGAGAGCCCCGUAUAGAUGGAAGCCAAGCCUGUGUAAAGCUCCUUCCACGAGUCGAGUAGUUUGGGAAUGCUGCUCUAAAUGGGAGGUAAAUGUCUUCUAAAGCUAAAUACCGGCCAGAGGCCGAUAGCGCCCAAGUAGAGUGAUCGAAAGAUGAAAAGCCCUUUGAAAAGAGGGUUAAAUCGCCCGUGAAAUUGUUGAAAGGGAAGCGCUUAUGACCAGACUUGCGCCGGGUUGAUCAUCCAGUGUUCUCACUGGUGCACUCUGCCCGGCUCAGGCCAGCAUCGGUUCUGGAGGGGGCAUAAAGGCCGCGGGAACGUAGCUCCUCCGGGAGUGUUAUAGCCCGCAGUGUCAUAUCUCCACUGGGACCGAGGUCCGCGCUCUGCAAGGACGCUGGCGUAAUGGUCAUCAGCGA
rnacentral:rRNA from 1 species